AGCAGCCGCGGUAAUUCCAGCUCCAAUAGCGUAUAUUAAAGUUGUUGCAGUUAAAAAGCUCGUAGUUGAAUUUCGGGGUCAGCAGGUCGGUCGUGCCACUGGUAUGUACUGGUCUUGCUGACUCCUCCCUCUUGACGAACCGUAAUGCCAUUAAUUUGGUGUUGCGGGAAAUCAGGACUGUUACUUUGAAAAAUUAGAGUGUUUAAAGCAGGCUUACGCUUGAAUACAUUAGCAUGGAAUAAUGAAAUAGGACGUUCGAUCCUAUUUUGUUGGUUUCUAGGAUUGACGUAAUGAUUAAUAGGGAUAGUUGGGGCAUUAGUAUUCAAUUGUCAGAGGUGAAAUUCUUGGAUUUAUUGAAGACUAACUACUGCGAAAGC
rnacentral:rRNA from 1 species